rnacentral:rRNA from 1 species
CACGUAGGGCGCAAGCGUUUGUCCGGAAUUAUUGGGCGUAAAGUGUGCGCAGGCGGCCGCGCAAGUCGAGUGUGAAAGCCCCGAGCUUAACUUGGGAAUUGCGCUCGAAACUACGUGGCUGGAGUGUGGCAGAGGAAGGUGGAAUUCCACGUGUAGCGGUGAAAUGCGUAGAGAUGUGGAGGAACACCGAUGGCGAAGGCAGCCUUCUGGGCCAACACUGACGCUCAUGCACGAAAGCGUGGGGAGCAAACAGG